rnacentral:rRNA from 1 species
UACAGAGGGUGCAAGCGUUGCUCGGAUUUACUGGGCGUAAAGCGUACGCAGACGGUGAGGAAGGUCGGAUGUGAAAGCCCUGGGCUCAACCCAGGAACUGCAUCCGAAACCCCCUCGCUAGAGUAUGGGAGAGGGAAGCGGAAUUCCUGGUGUAGAGGUGAAAUUCGUAGAUAUCGAGAGGAACACCGGUGGCGAAGGCGGCCAACUGGACGAACACUGACGCUGAGACUCGAAAGCGUGGGGAGCAAACAGG